rnacentral:rRNA from 1 species
AACGAACGCUGGCGGCAUGCCUAACACAUGCAAGUCGAACGAACCCUUCGGGGUUAGUGGCGCACGGGUGCGUAACGCGUGGGAAUCUGCCCUUUGCUUCGGAAUAACUCAGGGAAACUUGUGCUAAUACCGGAUGAUGUCUUCGGACCAAAGAUUUAUCGGCAAGGGAUGAGCCCGCGUAGGAUUGGGUAGUUGGUGGGGUAAAGGCCUACCAAGCCGACGAUCCUUAGCUGGUCUGAGAGGAUGAUCAGCCACACUGGGACUGAGACACGGCCCAGACUCCUACGGGAGGCAGCAGUGGGGAAUAUUGGACAAUGGGCGCAAGCCUGAUCCAGCAAUGCCGCGUGAGUGAUGAAGGCCCUCGGGUCGUAAAGCUCUUUUACCAGGGAUGAUAAUGACAGUACCUGGAGAAUAAGCUCCGGCUAACUCCGUGCCAGCAGCCGCCGUAACAC